rnacentral:lncRNA from 1 species
GUUGGUGAACGUUGAAUAAAAAUGCAAAGACAUACCUGGUGAUUAACAUAUCCAUCAUUCAAUAAUUAUUUACCAAGCAUGUUGUACCACAUACGACCAAAUUGUUUCAAACCAUAUAAUAAUCGUUGGGAUAUAACAUAAUAUAAAUGUCAAGGCUUAGUGUCCUCUAUCUCUAAUCCUUCAGGGAUUUUCAUAAAAAUAUCACUAUCAAGUGAUAUAUAAAAGUAUGCUAUCACAACGUCCAUCAGACGUGUUUCCAAAGCCAUACUCAUUAUAAAAUGAGAGGUAACUCCAUCCAUUACAGGAGAGUAUAUUUCCUGGUGAUUAAAAUUAUACCCAUUAGGAAAUAAAAGUAACUCUAUCCCUUAUAGGAGAGAAUGUUUCCUAAUAAUCAAAUCCAGGUCUCUGAGAGAAUCCUUGGGCUACCAGCCAAGCUUUAUAUCUCAUAAUUUCAUUUAUCUCAUUUCAUUUUCGUACAAAUACUCAUCUAUUCCCAACAGGGACUCCACCAUCUGGUGUUUGAACUAUUAGUCCAUUUACAUUCCCCUUGCGCAAGGAUUGCAAUUCUUCCGAGAUUGCAAUUUUUCAUUUUGGCCAAUCAUAUCAUUGUCGACACUCUUCCACACUUUGUGGUUCAAGAUCGGAGUUCAUAAUAAUAUUGCAUACAUAUCGCAAUCUCAAUACUCCCACGAUCCAAUUAUCUCAUUGUCGACACUUCUCCACACUUUGUGGUUUAGGAUCGGAGUUUAUAAUAAUAUCACAUACAUAUCAUCAAUCUCAAUACUCCCACGAUCCAAUCAUCUCAUUGUCGACACUUUAGGAUCGGAGUUUAUAAUAAUAUCACAUAUCACGGAAAAACAUACACAUCAUCAAUCUUAGUACUCUCACGAUCCAAUAAUUUCCCUUUAUGUACAUAAAUUAUAGAGAUCUCAUAACUUUCAGGUACCUUUGCUUCCAUGGAAGCAUUUGCCACUUCUGGGGCAUUUGCCACUUCUAGGGCAUGUGCCACUUCUGGGGCAAUUUCCUCUUCAGGAGGAUUUGUCACAGCCACUUAAGGGGCUUGAACCUCUUCAGGAGGCAAUACCACUUCUGGGAUAUGUAUUUGUCACUUCUGGGACAAUAUCAUCUUUCAGAGAUAAUCUCAUUUCUAGGGAUUUUGUUUCAGCCACUUCAGGGCCUCAAACCUCUUCAG